AAAAGAACUAAGAUAAAAGCUUCUAAGGAUGUAAUUUAUGAAAAAUAAAUCUUUGACAAGUUAUACUAUUAUUGGACGAAAAGUAAAAAGAGUGGUUUUGGCUUUGGGUUUCGGAAAUGAAAGUGCAAAAUUUUUCAUUUCAUUUUAUUCUCUUGGACUUGGCUGCCUACAUAUAUAUGGGCAUAAGAUGGAAUAUUGAACUAAAAGAAG
rnacentral:misc_RNA from 1 species